GAUGAACGCUGGCGGCAGGCCUAAUACAUGCAAGUCGAGCGAAACUUCUGUAUCGCCGCGUGCUUGCACGCACCGAGAGAGAGUUGAGUGUCGAACGGGGGAUUAACACGUGGGCAACCUGGUCAUAAGGGAGGCGUAACACGGGGGAACAAGUUCUAAUACCGCAUAACCAUAGUUACCGCAUGGGAACUUUGUAAAAGGUUGGUAUACUACCGCUACUGUAUGGGCCCGCGGCGAAUUGGCUAGUUGGCAGGGUAAAGGCAUACCAAGGCAAUGAUGCGUAGCCGAAAUGAGAGGUUGGUCGGCUACAUUGGGACUGAGACACGGCACCCACUCCGACGGGAGGCAGCAGUAGGGAAUCUUACACGAUGGGCGAGAGCCUGAUGGAGCAACGCCGCGUGAGUGAAGAAGUUCUUCGGAUCGUAAAACCCUGUUGUCAGUAAAGAAAGAGCGUGCGAGUAACUGUUAACGUAUCGACGGUAUCUACCCAGAAAGCCACGGCUAACUACGUG
rnacentral:rRNA from 1 species